CAUCUUCGAUCUGCUGCGGACAGAUAAAGUGGAUAUGGCUAUCAAUCCCACCCGCUGUGAGAAUGCGACCUUCGCCAGCAAUCGCCUCGGUGCCUGGGCCAACAAUAAUAUUAACGCCGGGCUGUGUAUCUGGGUUACCUGCCUUUCCGAUGGCAACAAUUACACCGUCCUUUAGACCGACAUCAGCCUUAAUGAUGCCCUUCCAAUCCACGAUCAGAGCAUUGGUAAUAACGGUAUCAACAGCGCCCUCAGCACGGGCCGCUUGGCUUUGGCCCAUACCGUCGCGGAUG
rnacentral:sRNA from 1 species